rnacentral:rRNA from 1 species
CUCUCGAUAGUGUGGUCCAUUCGCCUACCUCUGAAAAUCCGGAUCUUCAUGUGGCAAUGGAUUCGCAGUCGGGUUCCGUCUGGGGUUGAGGUCCGCAAACGAAAUGGCCCGGGCUCGGGCAUUUGUCCCCUCUGCGAUGUCCCCGAAGACUUGAAUCACAUCUUCUUCUCCUGCGUAUCCGCUCAGUUCGUUUGGAGCUGCUUUCGGGAAGUGGUUGGUGGCGAUUGGUGCCACAACAACUUCCCCGACUUAUUUGCCAAACUCCAGAUCUCCCUCGUGUCGUCUCGCCACAUUAGGUGGCUUGAGAUUGGGGUCCUAGCCUGGACCCUCUGGACGGUCCGUAAUAAGCGUGUGAUCCAGCGCACCCCUCUUCGAUGA